CAACAGGGAUUGCCCCAGUAACGGCGAGUGAAGCGGCAACAGCUCAAAUUUGAAAUCUGGCCUCCCGGCCCGAGUUGUAAUUUGCAGAGGAUGCUUCUGGCGCGGUGCCUUCCGAGUUCCCUGGAACGGGACGCCACAGAGGGUGAGAGCCCCGUAUGGUCGGACACCAAGCCUGUGUGAAGCUCCUUCGACGAGUCGAGUAGUUUGGGAAUGCUGCUCUAAAUGGGAGGUAAAUCUCUUCUAAAGCUAAAUACCGGCCAGAGACCGAUAGCGCACAAGUAGAGUGAUCGAAAGAUGAAAAGCACCUUGAAAAGGGGGUUAAAUAGUACGUGAAAUUGUUGAAAGGGAAGCGCUUGUGACCAGACUUGCGCCGUGCGGCUCAUCAGGGGUUCUCCCCUGUGUACUCCGCGCGGCUCGGGCCAGCAUCGGUUCUCGUGGGGGGAUAAGACCGGCGGGAACGUAGCACCCCCCGGGGUGUGUUAUAGGCCGCCGGACGAUGCCCUCGUGGGGACCGAGGUUCGCGCUCCGCAAGGAUGCUGGCGUAAUGGUCACCAGCGACCCGUCUUGAAACACGGACCAAGGAGUCGUCCAUUAGAGCGAGCGUUUGGGUGUAAAACCCGCACGCGUAAUGAAAGUGAACGCAGGUGAGAGCUUCGGCGCAUCAUCGACCGAUCCUGAUGUUCUCGGAAGGAUUUGAGUAAGAGUUUUAACGGACGGACCCGAAAGACAGUGAACUAUGCUUGUAUAGGGUGAAGCCAGAGGAAACUCUGGUGGAGGCUCGCAGCGGUUCUGACGUGCAAAUCGAUCGUCAAAUAUGAGCAUGGGGGCGAAAGACUAAUCGA
rnacentral:rRNA from 1 species